rnacentral:rRNA from 1 species
UACGUAGGGUGCAGGCGUUAAUCGGAAUUACUGGGCGUAAAGCGUGCGCAGGCGGUUUGCUAAGACAGGUGUGAAAUCCCCGGGCUUAACCUGGGAACUGCGCUUGUUACUGGCAGGCUUGAGUGUGGCAGAGGGGGGUGGAAUUCCGACGUGUAGCGUGAAAUGCGUAGAUAUGCGGAGGAACACCGAUGGCGAAGGCAAUCCCCUGGGCCUGCACUGACGCUCAUGCACGAAAGCGUGGGGAGCAAACAGG